ACGGGUGAGUAACGCGUGAGUAACCUGCUUUCAAGAGGGGGAUAACAUUCUGAAAAGAAUGCUAAUACCGCAUGACAUAUCGGAACCACAUGGUUUUGAUAUCAAAGAUUUUAUCGCUUGAAGAUGGACUCGCGUCCGAUUAGUUAGUUGGUGAGGUAACGGCUCACCAAGACCGCGAUCGGUAGCCGGACUGAGAGGUUGAACGGCCACAUUGGGACUGAGACACGGCCCAGACUCCUACGGGAGGCAGCAUG
rnacentral:rRNA from 1 species